UUACACAUGCAAGUCGAACGGCAGCACGGGAGCAAUCCUGGUGGCGAGUGGCGAACGGGUGAGUAAUAUAUCGGAACGUGCCCAGUCGUGGGGGAUAACGCAGCGAAAGCUGUGCUAAUACCGCAUACGAUCUCUGGAUGAAAGCGGGGGACUCGCAAGGGCCUCGCGCGAUUGGAGCGGCCGAUAUCAGAUUAGCUAGUUGGUGGGGUAAAGGCCCACCAAGGCGACGAUCUGUAGCUGGUCUGAGAGGACGACCAGCCACACUGGAACUGAGACACGGUCCAGACUCCUACGGGAGGCAGCAGUGGGGAAUUUUGGACAAUGGGCGCAAGCCUGAUCCAGCAAUGCCGCGUGCAGGAUGAAGGCCUUCGGGUUGUAAACUGCUUUUGUACGGAACGAAACGGUCUGCCUUAAUACGGUGGGCUAAUGACGGUACCGUAAGAAUAAGCACCGGCUAACUACGUGCCAGCAGCCGCGGUAAUACGUAGGGUGCGAGCGUUAAUCGGAAUUACUGGGCGUAAAGCGUGCGCAGGCGGUUAUAUAAGACAGAUGUGAAAUCCCCGGGCUCAACCUGGGACCUGCAUUUGUGACUGUAUAGCUAGAGUACGGUAGAGGGGGAUGGAAUUCCGCGUGUAGCAGUGAAAUGCGUAGAUAUGCGGAGGAACACCGAUGGCGAAGGCAAUCCCCUGGACCUGUACUGACGCUCAUGCACGAAAGCGUGGGGAGCAAACAGGAUUAGAUACCCUGGUAGUCCACGCCCUAAACGAUGUCAACUGGUUGUUGGGUCUUCACUGACUCAGUAACGAAGCUAACGCG
rnacentral:rRNA from 1 species